AGGUUUCCUGAAUACUGUUGCUGACU
rnacentral:piRNA from 1 species